AUCCAUCUGACGAAUGCCAAAUUGGAUGAAAUGCGCGUCAAUCUGGAU
rnacentral:hammerhead_ribozyme from 1 species